GCUCGCUUAACUUUCAUCGACACAUCGAUAACUUUGCGUUCCAAGAUGUUAUUACGCCCUAGAAUCCCUAACAUAAUUUUAGAACCAGAAUUUCUGUGCAAGACAAUUCCGUCGCUUUGUCACGCUUAACGGCUCAAUCAUCGAAACAUGUAUCAUAACGCACGAAUUAUGAUAAAAAAGAAACUGUCUUUCGAAUAAAAGCAAUCCGUUUCCCAGAUGCGCUUAAGGAUGUACUGGACGUCGACGGAGCAAGUGUACGAAAUACAGCCGCUGGAGGGUAACAGUUCCGCUCAACGUUACACUCAACAGCCGAAACAACGAUUCUCUGAAAUGCCUACUCCGUCGGUUUCGCCGACGUCUUCUCUCCGAAAGCGCGUCUCGGAACUGCCAAGAGCCGCGAGAGCACCCGUUUUCGGUGCUGCGGGCAUGGUCUGCUCUAAUAGGGAUCUGAUAUCGAUCCUAAGCUCGGUAGGGUCUUCCGCGACGGAAAUGUCGAAGAAGCCGGAAGAUUUAGCAACGGCCAGUUCAAGUCUUAGGUUCGAUGAAUUGAAGGUAGUGAAGGCGGUGAAGAAAAUGUUCGGUAAAAAGUCCCCUAAUAGCGAGGUCGUAUGGGACAACACUAGUGGAACCAAAGUGGACGCUCAGGUGAAACGUGGAGAAGAUAAUUUGCAAUCAUUGCGGACAAUAUCGCAGUGACAUUAUUAUCAAUCGGUAAUAUUAAAGAUAAAAUUCAUAUGGGAUGAAAACAGAGCGUCAAAAGUGGUUAUUUGUCGAUCUUCUUGCGAAGGGAAAAUUCCUGCAAAAUGUUUAAGAACGGCUCUCAACAAGGAAUAAAAAAUGUUAUUACAGUUCCAUUUUCGUGUUCGUUUUUUUUCUACAUGAUCCAUGUGAAAUAAUUCUUCAGAUGCUCUGCUGGUAAAUGAAUCGACGUUUGUAAUAGAGGAAAUAUGAAGUACAGCGAGAUCGUUGUUGGCUAUUGUUCUACACCGAUAUCGACAAAAUAAUUCUUCGACAACUCUAUUGAUAAGUCAAUUGUAGUUUGAAAUCAAACGAAUCUGAAGUACUAUCAGUUCGUUGCUACGAGAACAAUAGCCACCAACGAUCUCGCAGUAAUUCGGAUUCGUUCGAUUUUAAACUUCAAUUGUUUUACCGACAGAAUCUCUGAAUAAUUAUUUUGCUGGUAAAUUCUGUUGGUAUAUCGAUUAGAGUUUGGAAUCAAGCAAAUACGAAGUACAAGAUGGCUAUUGUUCUCACGUAGCAACAGUCUGAUAGUAUUUCAGAUUCGCUUGAUUUCAAACUUAGUUCCCUUGGUUUAAUUACUGAUUUAUCAGCUGGAUCAAAAUUUAAAGAAAAUGAAGAUCAAGUGUAGCGCGUAUUUGGUAGCGCAAUUGAGAAGAUGUUAACGGCGCAAAAGGGAAACGAUACGGGGGCUUCCGGGUCGAGCGGAAAGCCCUCGGUAUCUCCGAACAAACCAAUGUCAGGCAAAGUGACAAAUUGGUUUUCAAAUACCAAGAAUCAAAAUCGGAAUCAGACGGAAUCCAGCGAACCGUCUCUCUGUUCUUCCCUAAAGGACCUAUUCAAGAAGUAAUGGGGAAGAACAAAUGCUAAUAAAUGUUAAGUGUCUCCAGUUUAAUUAACACUUCUUUAUCUAAGAAUUUCUUCCCUAAAAGACCUAUUCAUUAUGUAAUGUAGAAGCACAAAUACUAAUAAAUGCUAAGUUUCUCUCGUUUAA